CACUCCUUCUAACCACAAGUUUAUUAGAAAUCUUGAUUAUUAUUUGAUUGGGGCAAUGGCUAUAUGUUUGUAUUUCAAAAAUCGAUUAAAAAGUUCAUGAUUGGAAGAAGCCCAGUCUGUAAAUUUGAAUUAAUAUUAAUCCAGUUCUUAAAAUGGUUGGUAUACAAUGAGGGUGUUGUGUUUUCUCAUCUGCGACGGCAAAGAUGCAUGACCU
rnacentral:lncRNA from 1 species